AGAGGAACAAUUACAUUGUAAAAAGUCAAAAAACCUUCCAGGAUUAAAAAUCUCAGGAGGUUACACUGUGGCUAUGAGGAGAUUUUUGUAAAGCUUCAAUAUGGAGCCACACACACAAGAAUGCCAGAAUGUGGACCCUCACCUUGUUGGCAGUGGUUUUCCCAAGUACACUGGCUCCUGGUUAAUCCAGAGGUUUUAAAGCAGAGCUUCAAGCCACAA